GGGGAUAGCCGUUGGGAACGACGAAUAAUACCCUAUGAAACUAUCACUUCGCAUGAAGCGAUAGUCAAAGUGUUAGCGGUAUAAGAUGGACUUGCGUCUGAUUAGCUAGUUGGUGAGAAAAAGCCCACCAAGGCAACGAUCAGUAGCCGGCUUGAGAGAGUGUACGGCCACAUUGGGACUGAGACACGGCCCAG
rnacentral:rRNA from 1 species